rnacentral:rRNA from 1 species
UGGGGAAUAUUGCACAAUGGGGGAAACCCUGAUGCAGCGACGCCGCGUGAGCGAAGAAGUAUUUCGGUAUGUAAAGCUCUAUCAGCAGGGAAGAAAGUGACGGUACCUGACUAAGAAGCCCCGGCUAACUACGUGCCAGCAGCCGCGGUAAUACGUAGGGGGCAAGCGUUAUCCGGAUUUACUGGGUGUAAAGGGAGCGUAGACGGCAAUGCAAGUCUGGAGUGAAAACCCGGGGCUUAACCCCGGGACUGCUUUGGAAACUGUGUAGCUUGAGUACCGGAGGGGUAAGCGGAAUUCCUAGUGUAGCGGUGAAAUGCGUAGAUAUUAGGAGGAACACCAGUGGCGAAGGCGGCUUACUGGACGGUAACUGACGUUGAGGCUCGAAAGCGUGGGGAGCAAACA